AUUAAACGCUGGCGGCAUGCCUUACACAUGCAAGUCGAACGGUAGCGCGGGGCAACCUGGCGACGAGUGGCGAACGGGUGAGUAAAGCAUCGGAACGUGCCCUGGAAUGGGGGAUAACGUAGCGAAAGUUACGCUAAUACCGCAUAUUCUGUGAGCAGGAAAGCAGGGGAUCGCAAGACCUUGCGUUCUGGGAGCGGCCGAUGUCGGAUUAGCUAGUUGGUGGGGUAAAAGCCUACCAAGGCGACGAUCCGUAGCGGGUCUGAGAGGAUGAUCCGCCACACUGGGACUGAGACACGGCCCAGACUCCUACGGGAGGCAGCAGUGGGGAAUUUUGGACAAUGGGCGGAAGCCUGAUCCAGCCAUGCCGCGUGAGUGAAGAAGGCCUCGGUUGUAAGCUACUUCGUUGGGGUAAGGAAAGUUA
rnacentral:rRNA from 1 species